UGCUUUUCUUGAUUAGUGGCGCACGCGUGAGUAAUGCAUAGAUAAUGUGCCCUUUAGUUCGGGAUAGCCACUGGAAACGGUGAUUAAUACCGGAUACUCCUUCUUGUUAUAAGACAAGUCGGGAAAGUUUUUCGCUAAGGGAUCAGUCUAUGUUCCAUCAGCUUGUUGGUGAGGUAAUGGCUCACCAAGGCUAUGACGGAUAACUGGUUUGAGAGGAUGAUCAGACACACUGGAACUGAGACACGGUCCAGACUCCUACGGGAGGCAGCAGUGAGGAAUAUUGCACAAUGGAGGAAACUCUGAUGCAGCAACGCCGCGUGGAGGAUGACGCAUUUCGGUGUGUAAACUCCUUUUAUUAGGGAAGAUAAUGACGGUACCUAAUGAAUAAGCACCGGCUAACUCCGUGCCAGCAGCCGCGGUAAUACGGAGGGUGCAAGCGUUACUCGGAAUCACUGGGCGUAAAGGGUGCGUAGGCUGGCUUUUAAGUCAGAUGUGAAAUCCAAUGGCUCAACCAUUGAACUGCAUUUGAAACUGAAAGCCUAGAGUUCAGAAGGGGCAGAUGGAAUUAGUGGUGUAGGGGUAAAAUCCGUAGAUAUCACUAGGAAUAUCAAAAGCGAAGGCGAUCUGCUGGGAUG
rnacentral:rRNA from 1 species